ensembl:lncRNA
ACGCAGGCCUGGCGCGCAGGGCUGGGGCGCCCGCGAGGGGCGGGGGCGCGCGGCCCGACCCGACCCGCCCCUCGCCCCGAGGCUGGCUUGGGGGACCCCGCGCCGCCUCCGCCCAGGGAUCACUCACUGGCGAACCAAGGGGACUCCGGACGGCCCUUUCCACCUCCCCAGGCUGGGAGGGAACUCUGGAUGUGACUCCUGUACAUGAAAAUGGAAGAGGUCAGAGUUGUCCAAGAGGGAGGCCAGCCACAUCCAGGCAGGGCCCCCAUGGCCAGAACCCUGCUAGAGCCACCAAGGUCCCAGACGAGUCUGGAAGUGUUAGUUGCAAAGGUAUGCAUUUGCUUCUCUGGCUACAAGAAAGAACAGAAAUGCACAAAGAGGAGCAGUGUGAAGAAGAAGAGGCGUUGAUCCCCAGACCGACCAAAGCCCGCACUCCGCUGCAUCCUGCGCCCAGCGCCCAUGUCCCACCACGGUCGCUGCCACCAUGCCCGGGAGCAAGGCUGAAGGGGAUGCUAAAGGAGAUAAAGCCAAGGUGAGGUAGAACCGCAGAGAAGAUCCACAAGGUUGUCUGCUAAACCUGCUCCUGCAAAGCCAGAGCCCAAGCCUAAAAAAGGCCUCUGCAAAAAAGAGACAGAAGGUACCUAAAGAGAAAAAGGGAAAAGCUGAUGCUGGCAAGGAGGGGAAUAACCCUGCAGAAAAUAGAGAUGCCAAAACAGACUAGGCACGGAAAGCUGAAGGUGCUGUAGAUGCCAAGCGAAGUGUGUGCAUUUUUGAUAACUGUGUACUUCUGGUGACUGUACAGUUUGAAAUACUAUUUUUUUUUUUUUUUUUUUUUUGAGACGGAGUCUUGCUCUGUCACCCAGGCUGGAGUGCAGUGGCGCAAUCUCGGCUCACUACAAGCUCCGCCUUGCGGGUUCACACUGUUCUGCUGCCUCAGCCUCCCGAGUAGCUGGGACUACAGGCGCCCGCCACCACGCCCGGCUAAUUUUUUGCAUUUUUAGUAGAGACGAGGUUUCACUGUGUUAGCCAGGAUGGUCUUGAUCUCCUGACCUCGUGAUCCGCCCGUCUCGGCCUCCCAAAGUGCUGGGAUUACAGGCGUGAGCCACCAUGCCCAGCCUGAAAUACUAUUUUUUAAUCAAGUUUUAUCAAAGUGCAGAUUUUGUUUUGCUUUUUUUUGUUUUUGUUUUUUUAAGCUAUGUUGUUACUACACAGAACACUUAAUUAUUGUUUUGAGGGGAAGGGCCAUGUGUCACUAAUAGAAAGUCCUCGAGGCUGGACUGAUGUGGGGAAAACACCUUUUCCUUCUAGUUUUGAGAGACUUCCUCUUGGGCCCCAGGAGGAGCGAUUCCCUGACUUUGACACACAUGGCCACCUUGGUACAAAACCCUUGUGGUAUGAAAAAACAAAUUCAUUUUUUAUGUCCUCUUCUUUCUACCUUUCAGAAUAGACUUAAAUCCCUUAAACCCAGACAUCUUCUAGGAGCUGACCUCCAAUAACUGGUUACCAGUGUGUCAGACAAUCUGGACUUUCCCCUCAAAAGAGCAGUGGUUCCUGUUUCUAGGUUGGGGAUCUUCAGAUAAAUUGUGUCAUUUUCAUUUCACUUCCUGAAAGCCAGGGUCAGCUCACGACAAGUUGUUAAACAGCAUAUGCUAAAUGUGAAAUGUCAACCCUCACUCUAAACUUUCCCUGUUCAGAGCAUCAGAGGAAGACUUCACUGGAUGUUACAGUGGCUUUCUGAUUUUUGGUAGUCCAUUGAAGAAGGGAGUUUGAAAGUUGUUGUAUACUGUUAACGAUUGUCUGCCCAUGUGCUGCCCAAAAUACCACGAUUCUUUAUGGAAAUUAUCUUUAAUAAAGCUGGAUACAGUUUGGCUUGGGAAAAAGAAAUGCAC